GAUUGGGUGCUUGCAUCAUGAUUUACAUUUGAGUGAGUGGCGAACUGGUGAGUAACACGUGGGAAACCUGCCCAGAAGCGGGGGAUAACACCUGGAAACAGAUGCUAAUACCGCAUAACAACUUGGACCGCAUGGUCCGAGCUUGAAAGAUGGCUUCGGCUAUCACUUUUGGAUGGUCCCGCGGCGUAUUAGCUAGAUGGUGGGGUAACGGCUCACCAUGGCAAUGAUACGUAGCCGACCUGAGAGGGUAAUCGGCCACAUUGGGACUGAGACACGGCCCAAACUCCUACGGGAGGCAGCAGUAGGGAAUCUUCCACAAUGGACGAAAGUCUGAUGGAGCAACGCCGCGUGAGUGAAGAAGGGUUUCGGCUCGUAAAACUCUGUUGUUAAAGAAGAACAUAUCUGAGAGUAACUGUUCAGGUAUUGACGGUAUUUAACCAGAAAGCCACGGCUAACUACGUGCCAGCAGCCGCGGUAAUACGUAGGUGGCAAGCGUUGUCCGGAUUUAUUGGGCGUAAAGCGAGCGCAGGCGGUUUUUUAAGUCUGAUGUGAAAGCCUUCGGCUCAACCGAAGAAGUGCAUCGGAAACUGGGAAACUUGAGUGCAGAAGAGGACAGUGGAACUCCAUGUGUAGCGGUGAAAUGCGUAGAUAUAUGGAAGAACACCAGUGGCGAAGGCGGCUGUCUGGUCUGUAACUGACGCUGAGGCUCGAAAGUAUGGGUAGCAAACAGGAUUAGAUACCCUGGUAGUCCAUACCGUAAACGAUGAAUGCUAAGUGUUGGAGGGUUUCCGCCCUUCAGUGCUGCAGCUAACGCAUUAAGCAUUCCGCCUGGGGAGUACGGCCGCAAGGCUGAAACUCAAAGGAAUUGACGGGGGCCCGCACAAGCGGUGGAGCAUGUGGUUUAAUUCGAAGCUACGCGAAGAACCUUACCAGGUCUUGACAUACUAUGCAAAUCUAAGAGAUUAGACGUUCCCUUCGGGGACAUGGAUACAGGUGGUGCAUGGUUGUCGUCAGCUCGUGUCGUGAGAUGUUGGGUUAAGUCCCGCAACGAGCGCAACCCUUAUUAUCAGUUGCCAGCAUUAAGUUGGGCACUCUGGUGAGACUGCCGGUGACAAACCGGAGGAAGGUGGGGAUGACGUCAAAUCAUCAUGCCCCUUAUGACCUGGGCUACACACGUGCUACAAUGGAUGGUACAACGAGUUGCGAACUCGCGAGAGUAAGCUAAUCUCUUAAAGCCAUUCUCAGUUCGGAUUGUAGGCUGCAACUCGCCUACAUGAAGUCGGAAUCGCUAGUAAUCGCGGAUCAGCAUGCCGCGGUGAAUACGUUCCCGGGCCUUGUACACACCGCCCGUCACACCAUGAGAGUUUGUAACACCCAAAGUCGG
rnacentral:rRNA from 2 species